AAUGAACGCUGGCGGCAUGCCUAACACAUGCCAGUCGAGCGAACGCACGGGGAGUUUUCUUGUCUGAUGUUGUCGCCGGUCGGGUGAGUCCCAUGUGUAUAACCUACCUAUCCGACUGGGGUACCUACACGGGACCAGAUCUAAUACCCGAUGAUAUUUUGAACCUGAUGGUUCACAAGUGAAAUACGCUCUUGCUGAGACUAAUAGCUGGCUCCGCGUUGGAUGAGCUAGUUGGUAAGGAAACGGCUUACCAACGCUAGGAUGCAUAGCCGACCUGAGAGAGUGGACAGACAGACUGGAAGUGAGACACGGUCCAGACUCCUGCGGUAGGAAGCAGUCGGGAAUCUUACGCAAUGGGCGAAAGCGUGAUAGAGCAACGCGGCGUGAGUGAUGAAGGUCUUAGGAUGGUAAAGCGCUGUAAGUAGGAGGGAAGGAAAGUUAGUUUACCCGUGAAGAUAUUGACGGUACCGGAAGAAUAAGCCCCGGCUAACUACGUG
rnacentral:rRNA from 1 species